UUCUGCUAUAUGCUAUUUAUGAUCCAAGUUUAACAAGAAAAGCAAAUAUUUGGAGAGAGAAAACAGGACUUCUACAAAAAACUGGAGGUGCCUCUUCAGACUGCCCAGUACUCUGCUGUUACUGUCUGUCUGCUAAUCUAUGUUUAAGGACAGUUCCAAUUAACUCCAGAAAAAUCAAAAUGGGAUUAACACUCUUCACCCCCCCAGGAAUAAUACACAGCAAAUAUAGUGGUGUCACAUUUAUCAAAUAAAUACUCUAAAGUG